CCUACGGGUGGCAGCAGUGAGGAAUAUUGGUCAAUGGGCGGGAGGCUGAACCAGCCAAGCCGCGUGAGGGACGACGGCCCUACGGGUUGUAAACCUCUUUUGUCGGGGAGCAAAGAGAGUCACGUGUGACCGAUUGAGAGUACCUGACGAAAAAGCAUCGGCUAACUCCGUGCCAGCAGCCGCGGUAAUACGGAGGAUGCGAGCGUUAUCCGGAUUUAUUGGGUUUAAAGGGUGCGCAGGCGGAUGUGUAAGUCAGCGGUCAAAUACCGGGGCUCAACACCGUGCUGCCGGUGAAACUGGAGGCCUUGAGUGCGCGAGAAGUAUGCGGAAUGCGUGGUGUAGCGGUGAAAUGCAUAGAUAUCACGCAGAACUCCGAUUGCGAAGGCAGCAUGCCGGCGCGGAACUGACGCUGAUGCACGAAAGCGUGGGUAUCGAACAGGAUUAGAUACCCGGGUAGUC
rnacentral:rRNA from 1 species